rnacentral:rRNA from 1 species
AACGAACGCUGGCGGCAGGCUUAACACAUGCAAGUCGAGCGCAUCCUUCGGGGUGAGCGGCGGACGGGUGAGUAACGCGUGGGAACGUGCCCUCUUCUACGGAAUAGCCUCGGGAAACUGAGAGUAAUGCCGUAUACGCCCGCAAGGGGAAAGAUUUAUCGGAGGAGGAUCGGCCCGCGUUGGAUUAGGUAGUUGGUGGGGUAACGGCCUACCAAGCCGACGAUCCAUAGCUGGUUUGAGAGGAUGAUCAGCCACACUGGGACUGAGACACGGCCCAGACUCCUACGGGAGGCAGCAGUGGGGAAUCUUGGACAAUGGGGGCAACCCUGAUCCAGCCAUGCCGCGUGAUCGAUGAAGGCCUUAGGGUUGUAAAGAUCUUUCAGCUGGGAAGAUAAUGACGGUACCAGCAGAAGAAGCCCCGGCUAACUCUGUG